rnacentral:lncRNA from 1 species
UCAGGUGCCGCAGGAGGUAGCCCAAGGCUGGUGUAAAGAGAAGGACAUUCCCUAUUUUGAAGUCAGUGCCAAGAAUGACAUCAAUGUGGUACAGGCCUUUGAGAUGCUGGCCGGUCGGGCUCUGUCGAGGUAUCGAAGCAUCUUAGAGAGUUACUUCACAGACUCCAUCAAGCUCUCACCAGAAGACCAGUCCAAGAGCAGAUGCUGUUGACCUUGCAGACUCCGGCUCUGCAUGCCCAGAGGCAGAGCACGCCUAGGGCCUGGUUGUCCCAGGCCCCCACCAGCCUCAUCCCCUGCCCAUGCUCAGCCCAGCAGUCUAGGCUCUGUGGCCAGGGCCCUGAACCCCCUUGCACCUGCCCUGGAUCCAGAACCAGAGGGCAGCCCCGCCUCAGGCUGAGCGUAGUAAGGACAGGACCGGGCCCUUGAGUCCAGAAGAAACUUAGAAUGUCACCGCCAUGUCCUGGGGAGUCACAGUUCUCUUGCUGCCGCCAGCCUUCUUGCCACCCACCCUCCCCAAACACACCCCUGCCUCUAGGAUGCCCAUCUCUGCAGACAGGAUGCUGUCUGUCAUAUUCCUCUAUGGACUGGCCGUUCUCGCCCCAUCCACCACCACCUCCCAUCAGAGCCACAGCACAGCUUUGGACAAAGAUGUAGCUCAGCCUCUCUUGUAGCCGAGGCCAGGGAGUGAGGGUCUACUUCAACCUCUGGCGCAGCUGUUCAGGCCUGGCCCCCCACCCCCCCACCCCGUCUCCCCCCCACUUCAGAGUGCAGGACAGAGGGAGCCCAGGAAUAUCCUCCAGAGACUGGCGUGUUUCUCCCUGCUGUGCUCAGGCAACUCCUGUAUCUCUCUCAGAGCCUCAGUUUAUUCAUCUGUCAAAUGGGGAUGGCGCAUGUUCUGCCUGCCUCGGUGUGGUUUUCAGGACCGGAAGCUCUGCUUAAGUCUCAGUUGCUCUUGUUGAGAUACAUUUACUAUUCUUUCAACAAGUAUUUUUGCGUAUCUACUAUGUAUGAUGCACUGAGGUCCAGUGGCAAAUGUAACAGGGACCUUGCUCUCCUGGACCUGACAUUCUGGUGAAGGAGAGAGGAAAUAAACACUGAAUUUAAACAGACAUUUAUUUUCAUAUAGCAGGUAAGUGCUUGAACAACGUGAAAUAAGGUGAUAGAGAGUGACAGAGGGUGGGGUUGGGUGUUGUUUCAGACCAAAGCGUCCAGGAGGGCUUCCCUGGGGAGUUGGCGUUAGUCCAAAGGCUAGAGAAUGAGCAAGGGGCUGACCCCUGAACUGGACAGAGAACACGUGAGGAGAGUUAGCAGAAAAGGCCAAGACCCCAGGGUCAGGAAAAGAUUGCUGUGUUCCAGGCACAGUAAAAAGACAUUAAUUUAUCUGGAUUCCAGGGGGCUGUCCCGGAGACUAGCAAAAGGGCCUCGCGCCCUUGGUUGACGCCUUGCGUCUCUACCGAUUGGCCACCAGAGGGCAGCAGGGCUCCUUCCGUUCCAGCGAGCAGCCAACCAACGCUCCGUGGACACUUGAAGAGUGGCUGUUUUCUGUGCUGGUGCUCAAAGUUGGUUCUUGGGCUCUGGACAUUUUCAGCCCUUGGAGAUUUGUGGAGCAGGGAAAAUCCCAAUUUCUUUCUUUCUUUUUUUUUCUUUAUAGGGCCACACCCGCAGCAUAUGUAGGUUUCCAGGGUAGGGGUCUCAUGGGAGCUAUGGUUGCCGGCCACAACCACAGCCACAGCCACAGCAACGCAGGAUCCGAGCCGCGUCGGCGACCUACACCACAGCUCAUGGCAACACCGCAUCCUUAACCCACUGCGCAAGGCCAGGGAUCAAACCAGCAACUUCAUGGUUCCUAGUCGGAUUCGUUUCUGCUGCACCACGACGGGAACUCCAAGGAAAAUCCUAAUUUCUUAAGCCUCCUGAGAGAUGGGUAAAAACUGCAGCAUCAAUGAUUCAGGCAAGAAAUCUGCAUCCCCGGCAAAUUUAGAAGAGAGACCUGGAAAUCUCAUGGAUUUGUGUUCCUGCAGACUCUACAGCCAUAAUCUACUUUUUCUUCCUUGGCAGACAGCACUGACAGGGUCCUGCCUAGAGGGAGUAGGCAUAUGCUGACCCACCAGGACCUCCAGCGGUCACAUCCAUGCCCACCACAGAAGUCUCCUCUCUAGGGAGUGCUGUUGUGGCUCAGCAGGUUAAGAACACGACAUAGUGUUUGUGAGGGUGCAGGUUCAAUCCCUAGUCUCUCUCAGUGGUUAAGGAUCCGGUGUUGCCACAUGCUGCGGCAUAGUUUGAAGAUGCGGCUUGGAUCUGAUGUUGCUAUGGCUGUGGUGUAGGUCGGCAGCUGCAGCUCUGAUCUGACCUCCAGCCAGGGACCUUCCAUAUGCCACAAAGGUGGCCCUGGGAAAAAAAAAGUCUCCUGUCUGCUCGGGAGUAUCCUUCCCUGAGCUCCAAGCAGAGCUGGGGAUGUUGGCCUAUGACUUUCAAGUGUUGUCUGACUCUGAAGAUACCCCGGGAGGUAGGGGAUGGGGAGGUGGGGGUCAGUAAGAGAGUUUGGGGAGCCCCUUCCCCCCCAGCCAGCUGUGAAGUAAGAACUCAUCAUGGGCAGCAGCAUGGACCAGGCAUGGGAGCAGGUGGCCAGGAGCACACCUGUCUCUGUCCUUCUUGGGGGUGGCACUACAUGUCACCAGACUCACCUGGGAGUCAGUCGGACUAUGGAUUGGCCAUGUGGGGUGUGUGCUGCAGCUUGUGUACCACAGUGGACAUAAGGGCCCUUCUAAAUGUGCACAACAAAUAAUAAAUGUCUGUGUUUGUUUUGAU